rnacentral:misc_RNA from 1 species
AAUGCGAUAAGUAAUGUGAAUUGCAGAAUUCAGUGAAUCAUCGAAUCUUUGAACGCACCUUGCGCUCCUUGUUAUUCCUUGGAGCAUGCCUGUUUGAGUAUCAUGAAAUCUUCAAAGUAAAUCUUUUGUUAACUCAAUUGGUUUCUACUUUGGUAUUGGAGGUCUUUGCAGCUUCACACCUGCUCCUCUUUGUUCAUUAGCUGGAUCUCAGUGUUAUGCUUGGUUCCACUCGGCGUGAUAAGUUAUCUAUCGCUGAGGACACUGUAAAAGGUGGCCAAGGUAAAUGCAGAUGAACCGCUUCUAAUAGUCCAUUGACUUGGACAAUACUUUUAUGAUCUGAUCUCAAAUCAGGUAGGACUACCCGCUGAACUUAAGC